rnacentral:lncRNA from 1 species
GCCUGGUUACCCUUACAAACACCAGUGCUAAAGAGCACGGUUACUAAUCUUUCCAGGACACAAGAUUUGAAAGCAUCUGUUUCGAAGGGAGAUGACCUGCUAGAGGAAGCUUGCGGGCAACAGCAAAUUGGGAGUUCGACUAGCACUUUCAGACUGGGAUGCAACGAAGAACUCGCCAGCAGAGGAUGAGCACAGGCAGGCCCCGCGCCUGCCCGGAGGGAGCUGUAAGCAGAGGAAGGUGAAGUGGCCUGAAGAAAUGUCUGUACUGGAGACAGUCGGGGCUGUGUGCCUCUGCCUGACGCAACAUCAUUUCAGACGUGGAGGAAGGAUCUGUUGGCAGAUCUUGGGACUCAAAUGGGCUGGACUUCUAAGAAAAAAUAUACCCAGGCCUCUCUAUUCCACCAAUUUUCAUUCUUUCAUACAUACAUAUUUAUUUAUUUAAACAGACUUUAUAUUUUAGGCAGUUUUAGUUCACAGCAAAUUUGAGCAGAAAAUGCAGAGGUCCCAUAGACUUCCUUACCCAACAUACCCACGGCCUCCCGCUCUGUCAACACCCUGCAGCUGAUUCAUCUGACAGUCGAUGAAACGAUUCACACAUCAUUAUCACCCAAAGUCCAUCAUCUACAUUACAGACUCUUGGUGUCGUACAUUCUGUGCGAUUUGACAAAUGUACAAUGACGUGUACCUGCCAUUGCUGUGUCAUACAGAGUAAUUUCAGCGCCUGAUAAUCCUCCAUGCUCCGCCUGCUAACCUCUUCCUCCCCCAACCCCUGGUCCCCAAGGCUUUGCUUUUUCCAGAGUGUCACAUAGUUGGAAUCGUACGGAACAUAGCCUUUUCAGAGCGGCUUCUUUCACUUAAUAAUACGCAUUUACCUUUCCUCCAUGUUUGUUCACGGCUUGAUAGCUCAUUUCCACUGAAUAAUAUUCCAUGGUCUGGAUGUAGCCAUUUUCAUAUAUUUUUAAGAAGACAGACUGUUUCAUGGGGCGACAUGAUUUGUUAAUAACUAGUAUUAUAAUUAAACUUACAAUAAAAGAAAUACGUGGCUUAAAUAAAACAACCGUAUAUCAACCCUAUCAAUACUGAGGCUAUGAUUAUCCUUCUGGUUGCAGUAAGUAAACUGAAGCACAGAGCAACCCUGAUUUACCCACAGCAGAUGGUCAGUGAUGUGAGGGCCAUAGGAAGAACAGAAGGGGCCGACGCGGUGGCUCAGGCCUGUAAUCCCAGCACUGUGGGAGGCCGAGGCGGGCAGGUCACUUGAGGUCAGUAGUUUGAGACCAGCCUGGCCAACAUGGUGAAAGCCCAUCUCUACUAAAAAUACAAAAAUUAGCUGGGCGUGGUGGCGUGCUCCUGUAGUCCCAGCUACUUAGGAGGCUGAGGCAAGAGAAUCGAUUGAACCUGGGAGGUGGUGGUUGCAGAGAGCCAAGAUCACAUCACUGCACUCCAGCCUGGGUGGCAGAGCGAGACUCCGUCUCAAAAAAGAAACGAGUAAUAAAUAAAUAAAUAGAAAUGUAAAAAUAAAGGGAAAAAAAAGCACUGAACUAGAAGGAAAGUGCACCUAGUCUACUUUCAGGGAAUCCUUCGGGCUCUGAGAGAAAUCUGACUCAAAAACUAAUUUUAGACCAGAAAUUCAACGCAGUAGUUGAAUUCAUACAACUCAGUAGUUGAGUUCAUACAGUUCUCUCUAGAAAAGGUCUACACACAACCAAAUACAAAUGAAGCUAAAUUUCCACAAAAAACAUUAAAGCUACAUCUAAUUUUUGAUGAAGUGUUGCAGAGACCACCCCCCACUUCCGUCCUAAUGGUUUGAGACACGUUUUCUUUUUUUUUUUCUUUUCUUUUUUUUUUUUUUUUUUUAAUAUACAGUAUCGCUGUGUCACCCAGGCUGGAGUACAGUGGCACAAUUUCGGCUCAUCGCAACCUCUGCCUCCUGGGUUCAAGCAAUUAUCGUGCCUCAGACUCCCAAGUAGCUGGGAUUACAAGCAUGCACCACCACACCUGGCUAAUUUUUUUAAUAUUCUUAGUAGAGAUGGGGUUUCGCCAUGUUGGCCAGGUUGGUCUCGAACUCCUGACCUCAGUUGAUUCACCCACCUUGGCCUCCCAAAGUGCUGGGAUUACAGGUGUGAGCCAUCACGCCUGGCCGAGACAUGUUUUCAAGCCUUGAGGUGCAUUCCAGUACACCCAGCUCACUUUGUAAUAUCUGAAUUUUCCUGAGUCAAGGUUUAAAUUCCACUUCAAUGAUAUGGGCCACAGUAGUAAAAAGUGUGGUGUUUGCAUCAAUGUCUGUGUAAGGACUCUACUCGAAUUAGGAUGAGCCCGUUGACAAUGGAGCCUGAUUUCCUGCAUUCAAAGUGUUAUCUAUACAGUGUCAUUCAUGUGAGUCCAUUAAUAGUAUUUGGUAAUGAGGAGGAGGGUGGGAAGGAUGGGAAAGGCAUUCCCGGGGAACAGCCAGCACCUUGGUUCAUGUGAGCUGCCCAGUGAUGCUGAUGCUAUAGCUUGACUAACACAUCACUGUUCCCAACCCCCUUCUCGCUUGCCAUCUCCACUCAGGAGGCUGGGAAAGCCAGAUGCACCUGGCCCAGUUCUACCAAAGGACACACACGUGCAUGCCUUCCAAAGGCCCUCGAGGAGAGGUCUUGCUUUUCUUCAAUAAGAGACAGAUAGGACUAGAAAUGCCCCUUCCCCUUCUUCCUACCUUGACUCUGGGUGUGAUUCCCAGAGCAGCGGCAGCCAUUUAUGACCAUGAGGUGACCAGCAACUUUUGAAGCCACUAGUAGCUUCCAGUAGGACACUGGAAAUGCCUAGAAUAUCAAUAAACCAAAGAAGACCAGCUAUGCUAUUACAACUAUCUCCUGGUCCUGCUACCUUCAGCAAAUAUAAUGGAACAAGACGUUAAAAAUGAUUCUGUUUUGGCUGGGCACAGUGGCUUACGCCUGUAAUCCCAGCACUUUGGGAGGCUGAAGCAGGCAGAUCACCCAAGAUCAGGAGUUCAAGGCCAGCCUGGGCAACAAGGCGAAACCCUGUCUCUACUAAAAUACAAACAUGAGCCAGGUGUGGUGGCACAUGCCUGUAAACUCAGCUACUUGGGAGGCUGAGGCAGGAGAAUUGCUUGAACCCAGGAGGCAGAGGUUGCAGUGAGCUGAGAUCCAGCCGCUGCACUCCAGCCUGGGUAGAUAGAGCAAGACUCUGUCUCAAAAAAUAAAAAUAAAAAAGAUACUGUUUCAAUUCUGGCAAAACUCCUGAGGCGGAAAACAAACCAGUAGGUGCCAACAACUCCAAUGUUCUGAAGUGAGGUACUGAACCAGCUCACCGGGGCCUGCAAAGAGGCUUCCGGGAACCUGUGACCGCCCCUAGGGCAGAAGGUGGCAAGGUCAAGAGAGGUUAGAAUGAGAGAUGACUUUUUGUUUGUUUUUUUUUUGAGACAGAGUUUCGCUCUUAGUGCCCAGGCUGGAGUGCAGUGACGCCUAUCUUGGCUCACUGCAGCCUCCACCUCCGAGGUUCAAGGGAUUCUCCUGCCUCAGCCUCCUGAGUAGCUGGGAUUACAGGCGGCUGCCACCACGCCUAGCUAAUUUUUUCGUAUUUUUAGUAGAGACGAGGUUUCACCAUGUUGGCCAGGCUGGUCUCAAACUCUUGACCUCCUGACGGGUGAUCCGCCUGUCUCAGCCUCCCAAAAUGCUGAGAUUGCAGGCGUGAGUCACUGCGCCUGGCCGACAGAACUUCUUUUGAGACAGUGCUUGGAUGCUGGGGUACUUUUCUUCCCCAUCCCGUCCCUGCUGUGGAUGAAACAAGGGGGGCCUAGUAAGAAGGACUUCAAGGAGACCCUUCAGAGAGCUGUCAGAGGUACCCAAGAGCUUGGGGACCUGACAACUGGUGUCUGUCACCUGCCUGAGAAAUCCUAAAGGCAAGAAGACCUGAAGUCAAAACAAGAAAAGGUGAGGCUGAGUGCAGUGGCUCACACCUGUAAUCUCAGCAUUUUUGGGAGGCCCAGGCGGGAAGAUCGCUUGAUUGCAAGAGUUCAAGACCAGCCUGGCCAACAUAGCAAAACCCCAUCUCUACAAAAAUACAAGAAUUAGCCAGGUGUGGCAGUGCACACCUGUAAUCUCAGCUACUAGGAAGGCUGAGGCAUGAGGAUCAUUUGAACCCGGGAGGCAGAGGUUGCAGUGAACCGAGAUCGUGCCACUGCACUUCAGCCUGGGCAACAGAGCGAGACUCUGUUUCAAAAACAAACAAACAAAAAAAGAACAAGGAAAGGUGGCUUCCCUGGGGAGAGUGCCACCUCCUGGGACAAAGGAUGCAUGAGUGCUUCCCAUGGACUGGACACGGACCCUGAGAAGGAACUGCCCAGGGGGGCCACCAGGAGAAAUGGCUGAGCCAGGGAACCCAGGCGUCCGCUGAAGAUGUCCUCACCCCCUCAAGUGAGCAACACCCCAGCUUCCAGGAAGUCUCCAAGGAAUGCUUCAGCCCCUCACAGGAGAAAAAUUCGCUUGAAAUAUUUACACAGCCAAAGGAAAUGAUGGUGGGGGCUGACAGGGGUACCGCCCCUCCUCCCACUUCACCCUGCAGGAGUCCAGGCAGCCCAGGGAGUGGGAGGGAGGCCGGCAGACAGGAAGGCUACUGGCUGGGAAGAAUUUUAACUUCAAGGGGUCCCUGUCACAAACAGAGCACUGUGGACUUGAAGUGACCGGAGGAUUUUUCUUAUCCAAGAGCUGCUGGAAGGUCACAUGGCUGUGAGAGAUUUCAUCUUAGGACUGGGGGCAAACCAGCCCCCACCCCACCCAGCAAUGCAUCCUGCUGGAACUGGGAAGAUUGGCUCAGACUGAGUUCCAAACUACGUAUCGGCUGGUGAGAGAUGAACUGGGUCUUUGCACCAGACAAUCUUGUUGAAAAUCACCAGACCAAAAGUAGCUGAUGCUUAUCUGUCUCUGUCGAAUUCCCAGGAAUCCUGCGGGUGGCGGGGGCGGGAGGGGGGGUCUGAGCCCACGUGGGAAGCCUUGUUAGCCUGUGCCUGGGGGCGUCAGAAGAGGGAGAUUGGGCAAUUUCUGCUUCUUCACUCCCGCCACCCUCAUCUCGCUUGGGGCUCACUCUUUCCAAGUUCUCUUGGUCCCUUUGCCAAGGCAGGGGAGACCCAGCCAGGAUAUUUAUAGUGUUGGUACAUGACUGGGCAGCUAGUGGGAGCAGAUGUUUUCUGAUAUGGGCAAAGGGAGCUAUUUCUACUGGGAGCUGGAUGAAAGUUAGCCAGAAAGGAAGCCGCAGCCAUAACUGAUGUUCCUGUCCUCUCAACACUGGAGAAGGUACCCCACAUCCUUACAUGAGCGUGUUCCCCGUCCUCACUGCCUUAACAGCUCAAUCCAGGAGAUGUGGACUGUGCCAGGCGCUGGGUGGACACUGAGAUAAAUAAGACAAGGCCC